UCUCCGUUGGUGAACCAGCGGAGGGAUCAUUACCGAGUUUACAACUCCCAAACCCCUGUGAACAUACCAUUUGUUGCCUCGGCGGUGCCUGCUUCGGCAGCCCGCCAGAGGACCCAAACCCUCGAUUUUAUACAGUAUCUUCUGAGUGAAUGAUUAAAUAAAUCAAAACUUUCAACAACGGAUCUCUUGGUUCUG
rnacentral:misc_RNA from 1 species